rnacentral:rRNA from 1 species
UAUUGCACAAUGGGGGAAACCCUGAUGCAGCGACGCCGCGUGAGCGCAGAAGUAUUUCGGUAUGUAAAGCUCUAUCAGCAGGGAAGAAGAUGACGGUACCUGACUAAGAAGCUCCGGCUAAAUACGUGCCAGCCGCCGCGGUAAUACGUAUGGAGCAGGCGUUAUCCGGAUUUACUGGGUGGAAAGGGAGCGUAGGCGGCCUGGCAAGGCUGGGGUGAAGUACCGGGGCCCAACCCCGGGACUGCAUUGGAAACUGCCAGGCUGGAGUGUCGGAGGGGCAGGCGGAAUUCCUAGUGUAGCGGUGAAAUGCGUAGAUAUUAGGAGGAACACCGGUGGCGAAGGCGGCCUGCUGGACGACAACUGACGCUGAGGCUCGAAAGCGUGGGGAGCAAACAGG